GGAAAAACAAACAUCUCCAGCUCGUCGCAUGUGAUCUUUCAGAUCUUGCCAUGAAGCAUUAGAAGGUAAGCCACUGACCAAAACACGAAAGUCUGAGCGCCUGGAGAUGCUUCCGCGGAAGCUUCCACUGUUGUGAUUGCUGUAACGAUCUACUGGUGAUGGGCGACCUCUUCCACCGUGUGCAAGUUCCACUCGUAAUCUGUGACCAUAGAAAUCAUAACCAUCACGGCCAUCAAUAGCAUCUUCAGCAUCAUGAGAAUCC
rnacentral:misc_RNA from 1 species